CCUACGGGGGGCAGCAGUGAGGAAUAUUGGUCAAUGGACGAGAGUCUGAACCAGCCAAGUAGCGUGAAGGAUGACUGCCCUAUGGGUUGUAAACUUCUUUUAUAUGGGAAUAAAAUGUUCCACGUGUGGGAUUUUGUAUGUACCAUAUGAAUAAGGAUCGGCUAACUCCGUGCCAGCAGCCGCGGUACUACGGAGGAUCCGAGCGUUAUCCGGAUUUAUUGGGUUUAAAGGGAGCGUAGGUGGAUUGUUAAGUCAGUUGUGAAAGUUUGCGGCUCAACCGUAAAAUUGCAGUUGAAACUGGCAGUCUUGAGUACAGUAGAGGUGGGCGGAAUUCGUGGUGUAGCGGUGAAAUGCUUAGAUAUCACGAAGAACUCCGAUUGCGAAGGCAGUUCACUGGACUGCAACUGACACUGAGGCUCGAAAGUGUGGGUAUCAAACAGGAUUAGAUACCCCUGUAGUC
rnacentral:rRNA from 1 species